rnacentral:lncRNA from 1 species
AUCUAGCCUAAUGGUAGAGUGGUUGCCUAGCAUGUGCAAAGCCUCGGUUAAUCCCUAGAACUGCAAAAGAAAAAAUAAAAGGACAUUUUGCAAUUGUUUAGUUUUUUUUUUUCCACCAGUGUCACCCCUUCCUUUAUGUUGUAAUUUUCAUAUAUACUACAUCUGCAUACAUUGUAAAACUCACAAGAUAAUGUUAUCACUUUUACUAUGAAGAGUCAUGUUUUUAUUUGAAACAAAUUUAGGGAGAAAAUAAUCUUUCAUAUUCUUUCAUUUAUUUAUCAUCUCUGAAGCUCUGGAAGAUUCAAGUUUCUAUUGGGCUUCCCCUUUCUGAAUGUCUCUUUUCCAGAAUUCCCACCUUGCUUUCCAGUGAACAUGGUUGCCCCUAAACUCUGUCCUCUAAUUCUUGAACCAGAAAUACUUUCUGUUGGAGUCAUAGCUCUCCUGCACAGCACCAUUUGCAGCCUGCCUUUAGAGUUAAAGCAACACAAAAAAAGUCAACAUGUGUGUUGGUGGGAGUGGGAUUCAUCCUGUUACUUCCUUUUCUAACUGUUGACUUUCCUAAAAAAAUCAUCCUCCUUUUUUACAAUUCCUAGUGUCUUUCCGUUGUUCCUCCUAAUUCUCCCCACCACCAGCCCCAGUUAUCUUAUAGUGGUAAUCCUGAUAUGAUACUCCUAAAGGCAGAGUGAACUGGCCAAUAAUUUAUAAAAUUUUAUUAAGGAUACUUGAAGAUACCUCAUUUAAGGAUGACAUAGAGAGGAACAGGGUAGAAAAGGAAGACUUAAAACUGGAAAUCAGAUGUUGUUGCUCCUAGAGUCCACAAUCAUUCCUUCAUUAGGAAGUCUCUGGAUCCUUUUCUUCCAUAACCCCAACACAUCACUGUGUCGAAAUAGUUGAGAUUUUUUUUGUAAAUAUUUUGUAUAUUAAACAAACUGAAUUAUAAAUAGCCAACCUGCUGCUUCCCUGAGCCUCUCUGGAGCCCUUCCCACUCCCAGCCCUCUCCCAGGACCCCUUGGGCCUCAUAAUCCAUUAACUGAAGAACUGCAAAGAAACCCCAGAGGGACCCCUGGGAUCUAGCUCCAGCACUGUCACCUGAAUCCAUUCUGAUUAGUAGGUGCCCUGAUUUAUCAGUUAUUAUAUUUUAAAUAUCACUCCUACAUGCCACCAACAAAACAACCUUUUAAUGAUGUAUAAACUAUUUAGCUUUUUGGUCUUAAGAACUCAAAUUACUCCUCAGGUUCAUGAUUUCAUCUAAAACAAGGUGUUUAUAAGCCCUAUGCCCUAUAACUGCAUUUUUAAAAAAAGCCAUUUGGGUUCUUUCAGGAGCACAGACAGAACUUUCUCCCCAGAUUUACUCUGCUUUGUGUACUUAGCUCCUUGUUAGCAUUUUGUAUUUGUUAUAUCUUAUCUCUCUAACAUAAAUUACAUCUUGUACUGCUCCAUCAUUUCCAGUAAAUUACUGUCAACACAACACAGAUACCUAAUAACUGCUUGCUGAACAAAAUAUUUAAAAAUUUCCCACAGAAAAUCCAACAAGGGGACACUCAACACAUAAGUCAAAUGCAUUUGAACUCUAAAAUGAUGGUGGGUUCACCAUCUAUCUCACAAGGUAAGGACAUAUUUUUCAUUGUUUGCAAAAAGGAAUGAAGAAGAAUAUACGUGCUAGCCUUUUACAGAAAUAUAAAUGUGAAUAUGACAAUUUGAGAAGGAAAAAGAAAUGUCCUGGCAAAAAAAAAGACCUUCUCUGCUUACUGCCUACCUGUUGCUCUCCUCCUACAUGGAAAGGAAAAGAGACAAAUAGAAGAGUAACAAUGUAGUUUCCCAUUUCUUUUAAGUCCUCCAGCAAAAUCCUAUAGUGCAUAUCCCUAAAUCCUCACCAAGAAUCUGUAAUAGGUUUCAUUGCUAUUAUGAAUAAAAU